CAUUCCAGUGAAAGUUCUGCUCAUAAUCUGGAUGUACAAAGUGCAAGUUCUACCAGACCUGACGAGAUAAGCCGUGUGCAAUCGAAAAAUUCUACAACGACCACCAACUCUUUAAGCUGAUAACCCCUUUGUGAAUCCAAAAGGACCUAGAGUCAAGGUUCUCCGCACCACAGAAUCCAUAAUUUACGGACAAGAAAAGGGAAAAUUCAGGUGCCCGAUGAGUUUUUUCUCCCAAGUUCCAAAUUUUGAAAGGCAUUGGAUCUAAUGCCAGAGGCAGAUAGCUACCAAUUACUACCA